rnacentral:lncRNA from 1 species
UGUUGGCUCUCAGUUCUCCUGGCCGCAUUUGUGGUGUCCCUCAGAGCUCCGCGUGACCCUGUUGCAGCCGAGGAGCCAGCAUGAUCUCCCUGGACAUCCUGCUACCAGGGCUGCCCACGGUUGAGCAGAGUGAGGCGUAAAUCCUCCAAAAUGCUCCAGCUGCAUCCCACCCACACCGCCUGGAACAAACAGAAGGGAAAUAUGUUGCGUGUAGUGUCCUGGAGUAUCGUUACUGCUCUGCGAUAACUCUCCUGUGGUGUUCAGCUCCCUUGGGAGCUGUGGCCAGUACAAGACUCUGCCCCAGAAUGCUCCAGGGUGGCACUGCAUCCCCAGUGGAUCUGCAAGCCAAAGUGAGUGAUGCUAAGAGCCUUGGGAGUAACACUGAGCACGUCCCCCACAUUUAUUCUGCUUCUGACUUAGGAUGCUCUGAAAACACGUACUGGGCCAGUGGAAGAGGAUGGCUUGCUCCAGUUCUACCUUGUGAUCACUCGUCCCAUUCUCUGACCACAUAUAGCCCCUCAGCUCCAGUCCAGUUCACAAAUCUAGCCAAAAGCACUUCAUCCUUUUACAAGGGAUGGCUCAGACCUGUGCUCUCCAGUGCCACCGUUUCUGUUUUAAUAAAUGUAAUGGUAAACAUUGAUCUACUACAGAAGAACACAGGUAAAUUAACAUUUUUUUUCUGCUUCUUCCACUCCCUGGACUUUAUACUCUCUUGAUUUAGUGCCAAAAAAGGAAUCUGAGACAACUGCUUUGACCCUGAUUAGAUUUAAACUGUGUGAAAUGAGCAGCUUUUCAUUUCACAGAAUCACAGAAUUGUACGGGUUGGGAGGGACGUGAAGAGAGCAUUGGGUCAAACCCCCCAGCCAAAGCAGGUUCCCUAGAACAGGUUGCCCAGGUAGGCAUCCAGGUG